GGUAAAUUUAUAGUACCAGGUAUUUAGGUAUAACUGACAAUUCUGAUCAACUUUUUUCAAAAUUUAAUCAAAUAUUUUUUCGUUUAGAGAUUUUCAAAGGUUUUUGUUCUGCAAAAAGGAAUGAAUAAACUAGCUCUCACAUUGUAUAAAAUACAACCUAAUGACAGACAACAAACCCACAGAUGGACAGACAGCCUCAGAUUUUUUUGUAGGGUAAGUUUUUUUUGGGUACCAAACCCUAAAAGAUACAAUAGCAUUAUUCUUGUAUACUAAAUCCAGGAUUCAAAACUGUCUUCAGUAUAUAUUUUUUUCAAAUUUUGACGACUGUUUCUGCUAUUGUUUGUUAUCAUAUUUAAUUUUGAAUAUCCAUCUACCAGCAUAGAGUCUGACACGCAAAACAUGAGCUAGACAAUUUUUAGACAUUCUUCAUACAGCCACACCAAAAUAUAUGUCAAAUGUCAGUACAUGAAUUGUCAUUUGCAUAAAACGUGUUUACUUUUUUGCUGCGAAAUUAUUUUAAACCAUUAAAUAUGAAGACUCCUAUUAAGAAUGAGGCUAGAAGGCUAAUAUUCAAUAUGAUUAAUAAAUUUAAUGUGAAAAAUAAAGACAAUGAACAGAUUUUCAAUGUAAAAGACCAAUGUUUGGUUACAAUCUUGGAAGCCAUUGAAUGGAAUAAUUGUAUAGAACACGUCAUAAAAAACGAAAAUAAUUAUGUUGAAAAAGAUAACAUUCUUGAAACGCAACUGGAAAGUUUUACUAUAAAUGUAAAAGAUGAUAGUAGUGAUAGUGACGAAUCUCUUGAAGUAGUUUUAUAGAUUCCGAUUUUGAUUACGAAUCACAAUAAAUAAUGUUAUAAUAA